UACGUAGGGUGCGAGCGUUAAUCGGAAUUACUGGGCGUAAAGCGUGCGCAGGCGGUUCGUUGUGUCUGCUGUGAAAUCCCCGGGCUCAACCUGGGAAUGGCAGUGGAAACUGGCGAGCUUGAGUGUGGCAGAGGGGGGUGGAAUUCCGCGUGUAGCAGUGAAAUGCGUAGAGAUGCGGAGGAACACCGAUGGCGAAGGCAACCCCCUGGGCUGACACUGACGCUCAGGCACGAAAGCGUGGGGAGCAAAAGGG
rnacentral:rRNA from 1 species